GAACUUUUGUUUAAAAGACAAACACACGCCUGUUUUUGUUACGUGUUCAGAGGAUAAUAAACUCCAUAUC
rnacentral:ribozyme from 1 species